GACGAACGCUGGCGGCGUGCCUAACACAUGCAAGUCGAACGGAAAGGCCCUGCUUUUGUGGGGUGCUCGAGUGGCGAACGGGUGAGUAACACGUGAGUAACCUGCCCUUGACUUUGGGAUAACUUCAGGAAACUGGGGCUAAUACCGGAUAGGAGCUCCUGCUGCAUGGUGGGGGUUGGAAAGUUUCGGCGGUUGGGGAUGGACUCGGGGCUUACGAGCUUGUUGGUGGGGUAGUGGCUUACCCAGGCUUUGGAGGGUAGCCGGCCUGGGAGGGGGACCGGCCACAUGGGGACUGAGAUACGGCCCAGACUCCUACGGGAGGCAGCAGGGGGGAAUAUUGCACAGUGGGCGGAAGCCUGAUGCAGCAACGCCGGGUGCGGGAUGACGGCCUUCUGGUUGUAAACCGCAUUCGCCUGUGACGAAGCGUGAGUGACGGUAAUGGGUGAAGAAGCACCGGCUAACUACGUG
rnacentral:rRNA from 1 species